GAUGAACGCUGGCGGCGUGCCUAAUACAUGCAAGUCGAGCGAACAGACGAGGAGCUUGCUCCUCUGACGUUAGCGGCGGACGGGUGAGUAACACGUGUAUAACCUACCUAUAAGACUGGUAUAACUUCGGGAAACCGGAGCUAAUACCGUAUAAUAUAUUGAACCGCAUGGGUCAAUAGUGAAAUACGGUUUUUCUGGCACUUAUAGAUGGAUCCGCGCCGCAUGAGCUAGUUGGUAAGUUAACGGCUUACCAAGGCGAGGAUGCGUAUACGACCUAAGAGGGUGAUAGGCCACACUGGAGGGGAGCCACGGUCCAGAGUCCUACGGGAGGCCGCAGACGCGAAUCUUCCGCAAUGGGCGAGAGCCUGACGGAGCGGCGCCGAGUGAGAGAUGACGGUCUUCGGAUCGUAAAGAUCUGUUAUUAGGGAAGAACAAAUGUCGCCGUAAAUAUGCACGUAUUGACGGUAACUAAUAAGAAAGCAACGGCUAACUACGUG
rnacentral:rRNA from 1 species